rnacentral:lncRNA from 1 species
AUAGUUGUUAUUCUCACCCUAAACCAUACUUAAUUUCUCAAUCCUAAACAUAUUAUAACAUUCUUUAAAUCUGUUGACUUAAAGGGACCAGCAUCCUAUGUUAUGGUGGGAGGUCGCGUUGAGUUGAGUUACGUUCGAAAUGACGUGAGGCUGAGUUAGGCCGAAUCAUACUCGAAGUAGCACGAGGCUGGUUGGGCUGAGCUACAGUCAAAACCCAUGGGCACUGUGUCUAUAAGCUUUAAGUAAAUUAGUUGCGUAUUUCUAACACUUCGAGCUUUUGGGAUUAGUGAUUAGCGCCAACGAUCCAACAAAUUGUAUCAUAGUCAGAGGCCAAGAGGCCAUGGGUUCAAUUCCUGCAUGCUACGAAUUUAUGUAAAUUCUGGAGAAGGGAUUAUUGGUUUAAAGGAACUAUCAUCCUGCCCUGUGACGGAAGAUUUGGUUGCAUUGAGUCAUGUUCGAAAUGACGUGAGACUGAUUAAGCUGAGUCAUAAUCAAGAUUUAUUAGAGUUGUGUCUGCACACUUUAAGUAAAUUUGUUGUAUAUUUAUAACAGCUCGAGUUUUUAAAAUUAAUUAUUAGCGUCAACGAUUACAAUUACAAUUACCAAUUUAUAUAUCAUCAAGGAUUUGGGCUUAAUUUCUUCUGCUGUAAUUUUAUUUUUACUUUUUUUUUUUUUUCU